rnacentral:rRNA from 1 species
UUUGAGUUUGAUCGUGGCUCAGAUUGAGCCAUGACGGCAGGCUUAACACAUGCAAGUCGAGCGGUAGCACAGGGUGAGCUUGCUCCCUGGGUGACGAGCGGCGGACGGGUGAGUAAUGUCUGGGAAACUGGCCUGAUGGAGGGGGAUAACUACUGGAAACGGUAGCUAAUACCGCAUAACGUCGCAAGACCAAAGAGGGGGACCUUCGGGCCUCUUGCCAUCAGAUGUGCCCAGAUGGGAUUAGCUAGUAGGUGGGGUAAUGGCUCACCUAGGCGACGAUCCCUAGCUGGUCUGAGAGGAUGACCAGCCACACUGGAACUGAGACACGGUCCAGACUCCUACGGGAGGCAGCAGUGGGGAAUAUUGCACAAUGGGCGCAAGCCUGAUGCAGCCAUGCCGCGUGUGUGAAGAAGGCCUUCGGGUUGUAAAGCACUUUCAGCGAGGAGGAAGGUGGUGAACUUAAUACGUUCAUCAAUUGACGUUACUCGCAGAAGAAGCACCGGCUAACUCCGUGCCAGCCGCCGCCGUAACACAA